AGAAACUGAUGUUUCAGAGAGGAUCAACCUUAUUUAAUUUGCUAAGAAAUGAAAAGGAUCCCAGGAAAGACAAGAAAAUGCAAGGUGUCUACAGGAUACAGGUAGUAGACUUAGGCCCAGCAACAAAUAUCGUAUAUAGGGAUGACAACUCAAAUCCUGGCCCAGAGAUUAGAGGCACAUAAGAGUGAUAUUGCCAGGGGAAAAGUGACUACAGCUUUAUCAAUAGAGACUUAUACCAGUGACUUGAGAAUAGAAUGGGACAAGGCAAACAUUAUAAAACCAAUCAGUAAGAAAUCCCAAGCAUUAUUGGCAGAGACAAUCGAAAUACUGAGGAGACAAGGGAGAGAGAAUCUGCUAAAUGACUGGCCAGUGAUAGAGCUACCAGCAGUGUGGAGCUAUAGAAACAUUGAAGAAUGGACCACAACAUCUUGAAAUAUAAAGUAAUUAGAUGUGCUACAUAAUCGGUUGUAGAUAUAAACCCUCAGAGUUAUAUGCACACAAGCUAUAUGUUUAUAAUGGCAUAUAGUAUUUUUAUAUUUAUUUAUUUUGUUUAUUUAUUUU
rnacentral:lncRNA from 1 species